CAAAGGAAAAACAUUUACUAAAGCAAUUCAAGGAUUACAAUAGCCGGCGACACGGCGGGAAAAAAAACAAACAACAACAAAGUACGGAUACAACAAGUAAAGAAAAAAAGAGGGCGUCAGGGCAUCCCGGGCGCCGCCCCACGAAGGCAAGCCCACCACCCGAAAGGGCAUGGGAGCGACGCGGAUAGCUCCAGGGCGGGCCUAACGGCCCGGCUUCAGGGACCCCAACAAGAAAUGGCGCAGGUCAGUAGCCGGAAGAGACGAAGACCCACGGGAGCGACGACGGCGGCCAGUAGCCUUGGCAGGAACAACACCAGGAACCGCAAUCGUGCCGUGAUUGUGAAAGGCGCGCGUAGUCCCAACGGAGCCCGGGGCAGCAGCAGGAGCGGUGUCAGGGGGGCGACAGCAGGCUGACUCGCAAGGAGAUCGGAGCGGCGGACCUGAGAGAGACGACGGUGGACGUCGAUUAACACGGCGUUGAGACGUUGAGUUUCCGCCACGGCUACACUAUUGGGGACACCAGCGGGCGACAGCCGACACAUUAUUGUGAUUCAUCCAGUUUUUUUUUUUAAUCAUCUGAAAAAAAAAUACACACCAAGUUAGGUUAUAAAACAUAUACAAUCAAUCAUACUUACCUUCAUAAAUGAAAUUUCAAUUUUAGUAACCUGCAAAGAUUAAUAUAAGUAUUCUGUGAUACUGCCUUAGUGAAGACAUCUGCCAAUUGGUUUUCGGAACAUACAUGAUCAACUUUUAAGUGAUUUUUGGAUAUUAAUUCUAUUAAUUCCCUAAUAAAAUGAAUGUCUGUUUCUAUGUGUUUUGAUUUUUGUUUAAUUACUGAAUUUUUAGCAAUAAAAAUUGUUAAUAAUUGUGGUAUAUGAUGUAUGGGAAAGCAUAAGUCUCUGUAGAUAAAUGUUGUCCAUCUAAUUUCUGCAGUUAGAGUUGCUAAUGCUCUAUAUUCUGCUUCUGCACUAGAACUGGAUACAGUAUCUUGUUUCUUAGAUAUCCAUGUUACCAAGUUCCCUUCAAUAAAGACACAUAAACCUGUUGUUGAUUUUCUAGAGUCUGAGGCUCCUGCAAAAUCAGCAUCACAGUACCCAAAAAUCUUAUUCUUUUUAGAUGUUUUGGUGAAAUGCAACCCAUUACUAAGUGUUCCUUUGAUAUAUCUCAGAAUUCUCUUAGCUGUUGCUAAGUGUCCUGUUCUAGGCUCAUGAACAACUGAGAAACUUGAUUUAUUGCAUAAACCAGAUCUGGUUUUGUUUGAGUUAAAUAUUGCAAAAAUCCAACUAAGACUCUAUAGUUUGUAAUAUCUUUGAUUAGUUUACCAUCAUUUCUCUUGAGUUUUGAAUUUGGUAUUACUGGUGAAUUGCAAGGUUUACAGUUCAUCAUAUUAUAUUUUGAUAGUAUAUUGAAGGCAUACCUAGAUUGAUCCAUAUAUAUGCUACCAUCAUUGUUGUACUUUAUUUCUAUUCCAAGAAAAAAUUUAGAAUUUUUAAAUCUCUACAUUUAAACUCCUUACAUAAGUGUUUUAUAAAUAACUCAGUUUCAUUAAAAGUUAUUCCCUGUUAUUAUUAGAUCAUCAACAUAUACAAUCAUUCAGAUUAAAAUAUUAUCUUUAAAAUAGGUGAAUAAUGAUGAGUCUGAGAGACUAUUAUAAAAUCCAUUUAAUACUAAAAAGUCUCUUAAUUUAUUGUACCAGGAUUUAGGAGCUUGUUUAAGCCCAUAAAUGGCUUUAUUUAACUUGCAUAUAUGAUCUGGAGAUUCUAGUUUAGCAAAACCAGAUGGUUGUGCUAUGUAUACAGUUUCAACUAACUCUCCUUGUAAGAAGGCAUUUUUAACAUCUAUUUGUCUUAACUUAUAAUUUCUAUUUAUAGCAAGUGAUAUUAAUAUUCUUACUGUUGAUGAUCUUACAACUGGACUAUAGAUUAGUCCAUAUUCUACGUCCUUAGUUUGUUUAAAACAUUGCGCCACUAAUCUGGCUUUGUAUCUUUCUAAACUUCCAUCAGCUUUCUUUUUAAUUUUGAAUACCCACUUGAUUCCUAUUAAAUUUACUUUCUUAUCUGGUGGAACUAGAUUCCAAGUAUUAUUUUUUAUUAACGCCAUGUAUUCUUCAUCCAUAGCUUGUUUCCAGUGAGGUAUUUUUAUGACAUCUUUGAAAUUUUUAGGAGUCAAGGUGUUGUUUUCAAUUACCUCAGCAAUCAAUGCUUUGGGUAAGUUUACAUCAUAAAUGUUGUAUUUCUUUGGGAAUGUUAUAGACCUUUGAAUUCUUUUUAACUCUUCUGUGUGACUUUGAAAUUCUCCUACAGUUGAGACGGGAACCGACCGACUUGUUUCAACCGAAUUUGUGUUUUCAAGUGCUACUUCUACUAUGUUUUCAGAGGAUACCUCUUCUGUGUUAUUUUGUUCAAAUGUUGUAGAAGUACUGUUUGGUAAAUUACUUGAAAUCGUUUGUUGUUCGGAAAUAUUGUUUCCAGAAUUUACACUUUCUUCAGUCUGUGUGUUCUCAUCAACUAUGUUGUUACUAUCAUGAUCUGUAUGUUGACUGGUAGGAGCUUGAGUAUUUGGUUAUAUGCCUAUAUCUCUAUUACCUGAUAUAGGUAAAUGUAAAAGUUCUUUCGUCGUGAUUUCUUUCUUUGAGGUGUUUAUUUUGUAAUCUUUAAAUGGAUAAACAUCUUCAUAGAAUUGAACAUGUCUAGAUAUGAUGAUUGUUAAGUCCUUAAGUUUUAAACAUUUAUAUGCUUUAUGCACUGGUGAGUAUCCAAGAAAACAACAAUAAUUUGAUGUUGGUUCAAAUUUGUUUCUAAAAUUCUUAGGUAUCAAUGGAAAGCAUAAUGAUCCAAACACUCUUAAGUAAUUUAAAUAUGAGUCUUUGUUAUAUAGAGCAGAAAAAGGUGAUUUAAAACCUAAUGGUUUUGAAGGAAGUCUAUUUAUUGAAUAGAUAGCAGCUGAACAUGCCUCUGCCUAAUAUUGUUUAGGUACUUCAGAUUGUGAAAAAAACACCUGACUGUUUCAAUUAUCUGGCUAUGUCUUCUUUCUACAAGACCAUUCUGUUCAGGAGUAUAAGGUGAAGAAAAUCUAUAAAAAAUUUCUAAUUCAUUACAAAAAAAUUUAAAUUUCUGAUUGCAAAAUUUCCCACCUCCAUCUGUUUGUAUUAUUUUAAUAGUGUGUUCUAAUGAUUUUUCUAUCAUUAUUUGAAAUCUUUUGAAAGUUUCAAAUACUUGAUCUUUUGUUUUCAGAGGAAAGAACCAACAAAAUCUAGAGAAUUCAUCCAUAAUUAAGAGAUAGUAUUUAUCUUCAUUGAUUGAUAAAGUUGGAGUUGGGCCCCAUACGUCCAUAUGAAGUAUUUCCAACGGUAUAUUAUUAUAUUCUUCCCUACAACUAAAUGGUUUCUUUUUCAUUUUAUUUAGGAGACAAUGUAUACAAUUUUGUUUAAAAUUUUUAUGAUUAAUUUCAUGAUGUUUUAAAAGUUUUAACAGUACUUGAUCUGAAGGGUGUCCACACCUUCUAUGCCAUAAUUCUAUUGAAUUUAUUGUUAACUUAGAAGUUGCUGCCAAUUUCUUAGUUUCAUAUAUGUUUGAUAAGUUUAGAUAGUAUAAGCCUCCAUAGCUUUUACCCUUAAUUAAAUCCUCACCGCUUUCAUUAUCUUGGAUAAUGAAUCCAGAUUCAUUUAAAAUGAAACUACAUUUUAAAUCCUUGGUUAUUGAUCUUAUAGAUAAUAAGUUCAUUUUCAUGUCAGGAAGACAGUGCUUUAUGGGAUCUCUCCACUAUUUGACUUUAAUCUAGUAGUUCCUAUAUGUGAAAUUUUUAAACCUAAACCAUUACCAAUCGUAAUAUUAUUCAUAUCAGAAUAUUCUUCAAUAUCAAACAGAGCUUCCAAGUCUGAAGUCAUGUGAUUAGUCGCUCCCGAAUCAAGUAGCCAAUUUGCUUCUGAAGCAUCUUUAUUUGUUUCCAUGGCCGCAGCAAAAGCUUUCAAUCUUUUCUUGCAAGACUUAGCAUUGUGACCUGUCAUUUCACAGAGUUGACAAACUAUUGAAUUGUUGUUAUCUAAUUAAACUGCUAUUGAUCGACCGAUGUCAUCUGUUGUUGUUCGAUUUGUUGUUGUAGUUUGAUCUGUCUCUAUUAUUAUUGUUGUAAUUUUGCCGAUUGUUGUUGUUGUUGUAGUGGUCUUUGUUUCUGUUUUGACGAUUUAGGUAUCUUUUAUAAUUUGCAGCGGGUACAUCAGAGUUUGUCGGAUUUGCCAAAUUCAUUCUUUGAAUGUACUUAUCUUCUUGAAUGACUAGUUGUACAAACUCGUCAUAAAGUAGAUUUCGUUGGGAACGUAAACCCGAAACAAAAGGACGGAAAUCCACACCCAGUCCAUCUGUGACAAAAUCUAUUUUUGUCUUGUCAGUGACAACUUCACCGGCUGCUGUCAAAGAGUCAGUGAAAGAUGUUACUUUGAUUAUGAAAUCCCUAAUCAAUUCAUCUUCUUUUUUCUUUAAAAUUCUUAGUUCAUCCCGAAUUGCUUGUUGAUGUACUGCCUUCCUUGGCGAUAAAUGCAAUUCUAGUUUCUUCCAACACUCAUACGUCGUACUGUGGUUCAUUAUCAAUGAAAACAUCGGUGGUCCAACUGAAGAUUGAAUCCAUCACGAUACUGCCCAGUCCUUUUCUAACCAUAUCUUAUAAGCUGGAUUAGGUGAGCCGUCGUCUCUCUUUUCAAGGGGAAUUUCUUAUUUGUCGUCUACAAUAUCAAAAACAUGAUUCAACCGGAAUAAGUUCUCCAUUUGACCUCUCCAAAACAGAUAUGUUGAUGCUCCUUCUAGUGGAGUUCUAAUCCAGUGGGAGACUUGACAUUUAUAUAGAAAAUCGGGAAAAAUAGCCUUAUCAUGGUUUGUCAUCGGAAGAUCAAAAAUCACUGUAGUGAAAAUAAAAUAAAUUUCACCACUGCAGCUUUCUAAAUGAAUAGUAAAUAAAAUGCGAUAAAGUAAUUUUUUAUUAUUAUUAUUUUAUUAUUAUUUUAUUUAUUAUUAUUUUAUUUUAUUUACUGAAUAUCAAUGUUAAUGUCAGUAAUCUUGCUUAAAAAAAAAAUUAAAAACUGAUUUCAAUAUAGUAUCAAUAUUGAUUUCAAUUUCAAUAUUAAAAUCAAAUUACCACUAAAAAAAAUUAAUUCCACUAAAAAAAAUCGAUAAGCAUGGAAGAAAAAAAUAACAGAAACUACCGAAAUAAAAAGAUCCGUGCAAAAUCACAAAUUUAAGAAACCAAAAUAAAAAGAAACUUGAACAGAUCUGUAAAGAUCUUACCACGACACACCAUGCUGCAGAAAAUUUCAAAUCGCACCGUGCUUCAGAAAUCACACACGCAGAAAUCGAAAUGCAGAAAGAAAAAAAAAUCGUGCUGCGCGCACAAACAGAUUUGAAAUAACGGAAGAUUUGUAAUAUCACAAUUCCCAAAUCCGCGCGGAAGAUCCGUGCAAUCGCGUGCAAAAUCACGAAGCAGCCUGUGCAAAAUAAAAUCCGUGCAGCAUCGCGUGCUACCAAAAGGUGUAACGCGAUCUGUAAAUCCCAAAUCUCUUGCAGAGUCACGGACGGACGGACGGACGCAAAUCAGAUCGGCAAUCGAAAUAACGAAAACAAAACAGAAAUCGAAGAUGCUAAACAGAUCAAUACGAAAUCUAAAUCGUAAAAUGAUAAAUCGAAAAUCAAUUAAUUGACCACACAAAAUCAAUACAAAUGCAGAUCAAUUAAUUAAAAUAAUAAUCAAAAGAGCAAACCAGAUUUGCAAUCGCAGAUUGCAAUCGAUCGGCGAGAAUCCACGAGCAAUCCACGCGAUGAAGAAAACGCAAACACUAGACGGAAUCCGUCAGACGCAAAUCGUGAAAGAAGGCAAUUGGAUGGGUUAACAAUGAAAAGAAUCUGAUACCAUCUUAAAAAGCUUAACACUGAUUAACAAUUCAAAAGAUUAACCAUUCACAAAAUAUCAAAUACAUUUUUAUAGUCGCAAGAAUUUAACUACCUCAAUUACUAAGUAAACCAUUAUACUUUAACUAUGGUAAACUAACUGUUAUGCCGCCAUAAACAGGUUUGUGCCGCCAUAGAACGACGUGAAAUAAAUAAAAUAUUAGAAAACUUCAUUCAGAGUAAGGAAACAAUUAAGAAACGUUUAAGGAAAAUCCUAUUCCGUUACUGGACGAUUGUCACAAAAAAAUUUAAAAAAUUUCGUAGUUAAAAAUUAGACAACAUUUUCAUGGAUAUAUGUCUGAAUAAAAGUAAAACUAACCAAAACAAAUAAGAAGUCAACAAGGUGUCCAGAAUAAACUUCCACCGAAAACCAGGGAGGUAACGAAGAUGAUGACCAACAAACGUCGAUUCGACAAGAACGAAUGAAAAAAUAGCUAUUCGAAAAUCUGAUGAUCAAACCUCAAGAAAGGAAAGGGGUAAAAUAAAAUAGCCGACUCUUGGAUAGUGAUGACAACUACAAACCCAAAAAAAUAUGUCGUCAUCAAAAAGAAAACAAAAUGGGACAGAUCCACCGAACAAGUUUGCCUACAAUACGGGAAACAGCGACACAAACGAAAUCUACAAGCGAACGGCUAGAAUGCAAACAGUACCAACAGGAACAUACUAACCGGUCGCUCAAACACAGAGAAAAAACGGUGAAGGAAAACAGCCAACCGCACUCGUGGGUCUGCAGACCACCUGUAAAACCCUGCGCUGCACAUUGGUUUUAAUUCUCAUCAAACGAUUAACAUAGAUUCCUCACUCGAAGGAAAAUUCACAUGAUGACAAAAUAGAAUCUACAACUAAUACAAUACUACAACUACUUUGUGUUCGGGGACCUAAUACGAUCCUUAUUACAACAAAAAAAAUAGUCAAUGACAAGACUACUUCGCGUCACCCCCUACGCCGACACCUCGACGAGUCCUUUGUCUCCUACCCCUCCAGUUAGGCAAGGUUGCCUCCAUUUCCUGCACAGGUCAUGUAUCCGUGAGUGACUACAUCACUCAGCAUGUAAAUUAUAAGUUGUAAAGUAUAAGUUCCAACAAGUAAUAACAAUAGCAAUUAACAAAAUACAUGUAUAUAUAAUAUUCAAUCUGAUGAUACCAAUCAUCAUUCAUGCCCCUAAUGUGUCAUCACUCGUCAUUCGUUAGACGUCAUAACACCCCUGUCAUAUCUCAUUCAUUGAUGAAUCUCAUUCAUACAUACAAUGCUAUUCUUAUUCUCUUGUCCAUUCAUGUAUAUUUCCCCUCUAAUCCUAUUAUCAUUUUAAAACAACAAGUAUUCGAAACAACCCACAAGAUAAUUAUCUUAAUUGCUAACACAUGACCCCCGAUAACAUGUUCAUUAUUUAAAACAAAAAUAAUUAAUCAAACCAGCCCACGUGAUAAUUAUCUUAUAUGCAAUUCAAACAUGUACCCGAUAGCAUUUUCGUCAUUAAAAACAGUAACAUAAAUACUACAACCCACUCACAUGAUAAAUAUCCUGUUUGCUAUAAAUUGGCAUCAUCUAAAAAUAGUAGCAUAAUUACCCCAAAAAAGCCCACAUGAUAUUUAACAUAUGUGUCAACCAAAUAUGCACCCCCAUAUCAUCAUUUUCAUCUAAAAUUCGCAAUAAAAUAAUGGAAUCACCCCACACUAUAAUUAGCUCCUAUGCCAUCCCAACAUGCAUUCCCUUAGUGUUUUCAUCACCUAAAACAAACAAUAAUUUAAUAGGCACCCCAAUAAGAUUGGACAGCAACAAGAUACUACGGAAAUCACUAUAUACAGCAAUAAAAAGAAAUAGAUUAGCUCCUAUGUUAAUCUAACAUGCAUUCCGGUAGUGUUUUUCAUCACCUAGAGAAAAACAAUAAGAGAAUAAUAGACCCCCAAUAAAAUGGACAGCAAGAAGAUACUACUGAAAUCACAAUAGACAGCAAAAACAAACAAUAGAUUAGCUCUUAUGCUAAUCUAAAAUGUCUUCCGGUAGUACUUUUCAUCACCUAGAGCAAAACGAUAAGAGAAUAGACCCCAAAUAAAAUGAACAGCAAGAGGAUACUAGUGAAAUCAUAAUGGACAGCAAAGAAAAACAAUAGAUUAGCUCUUAUGCUAAUCUAACAUGUCUUCCGGUAGUACUUUUCCUCACCUAGAGCAAAAUGAUAAGAGAAAAGACCCCCAAUAAAAUGGACAGCAAGAAUUACAGGCUGUAAAACACUAAACAACAAUUUUAAAAUGGCAGUAAAUACAAUAUAGACAUUCACAACGUAGAGGUAGCAAUCCUUCAUCACUUAAAUCAACCAAUCACACAAUAGAUCCUCAAUAAAAUAGACUGCAAGAAUUACAUUCUACCAUAACUCUAAGCAGCAAUUAAAAUGGGCAGUAAUUACAAUAUAAACAACCACCACUUAAGGUAACCAUCCCAACCAAGAUCAAAUGGUCAACAUAACCAAAAGUUGGUAAACCCUUGGAUCGAGUGACUCAAGUGAUUUGAGUGCCCCGUUGUCCUUCUACUACAUUAUCAUCCUUGAGUAGGUUCAUCAAGAUCGGAUCUAUUUCCGAUGUUCUCCCCUUCAUCGUCUACCGUACCCAUCACCCAUAUCCUUUACCCAAAUUAGAAUCUAACACUCUACAUACCUCUUCCGCGGCUUGUCGAGCUUCACACCUCCCACACCACGACACCGGUGCCCCCUUACAGAUCCCAGACACGAUGCUCCCCCUCCUAACGGUCCUCCUUCUCCUUCCGUUUUCCCCUCUUCACUUUCUGUUUCACUCCGUUUCCUUUUCUCCCC
rnacentral:lncRNA from 1 species